rnacentral:rRNA from 1 species
GACGAACGCUGGCGGCGUGCUUAACACAUGCAAGUCGAACGGAAAGGCCCUGCUUUUGUGGGGUGCUCGAGUGGCGAACGGGUGAGUAACACGUGAGUAACCUGCCCUUGACUUUGGGAUAACUUCAGGAAACUGGGGCUAAUACCGGAUAGGAGCUCCUGCUGCAUGGUGGGGGUUGGAAAGUUUCGGCGGUUGGGGAUGGACUCGCGGCUUAUCAGCUUGUUGGUGGGGUAGUGGCUUACCAAGGCUUUGACGGGUAGCCGGCCUGAGGGGGUGACCGGCCACAUUGGGACUGAGAUACGGCCCAGACUCCUACGGGAGGCAGCAGUGGGGAAUAUUGCACAAUGGGCGGAAGUCUGAUGCAGCAACGCCGCGUGCGGGAUGACGGCCUUCGGGUUGUAAACCGCUUUCGCCUGUGACGAAGCGUGAGUGACGGUAAUGGGUAAAGAAGCACCGGCUAACUACGUGCCAGCAGCCGCGGUGAUACGUAGGGUGCGAGCGUUGUCCGGAUUUAUUGGGCGUAAAGGGCUCGUAGGUGGUUGAUCGCGUCGGAAGUGUAAUCUUGGGGCUUAACCCUGAGCGUGCUUUCGAUACGGGUUGACUUGAGGAAGGUAGGGGAGAAUGGAAUUCCUGGUGGAGCGGUGGAAUGCGCAGAUAUCAGGAGGAACACCAGUGGCGAAGGCGGUUCUCUGGGCCUUUCCUGACGCUGAGGAGCGAAAGCGUGGGGAGCGAACAGGCUUAGAUACCCUGGUAGUCCACGCUGUAAACGGUGGGUACUAGGUGUGGGGUCCAUUCCACGGGUUCCGUGCCGUAGCUAACGCUUUAAGUACCCCGCCUGGGGAGUACGGCCGCAAGGCUAAAACUCAAAGGAAUUGACGGGGCCCCGCACAAGCGGCGGAGCAUGCGGAUUAAUUCGAUGCAACGCGUAGAACCUUACCUGGGUUUGACAUGGAUCGGGAGCGCUCAGAGAUGGGUGUGCCUCUUUUGGGGUCGGUUCACAGGUGGUGCAUGGCUGUCGUCAGCUCGUGUCGUGAGAUGUUGGGUUAAGUCCCGCAACGAGCGCAACCCUUGUUCACUGUUGCCAGCACGUUAUGGUGGGGACUCAGUGGAGACCGCCGGGGUCAACUCGGAGGAAGGUGGGGAUGACGUCAAGUCAUCAUGCCCCUUAUGUCCAGGGCUUCACGCAUGCUACAAUGGCUGGUACAGAGAGUGGCGAGCCUGUGAGGGUGAGCGAAUCUCGGAAAGCCGGUCUCAGUUCGGAUUGGGGUCUGCAACUCGACCUCAUGAAGUCGGAGUCGCUAGUAAUCGCAGAUCAGCAACGCUGCGGUGAAUACGCUCCCGGG